rnacentral:rRNA from 1 species
UACGAAGGGGGCUAGCGUUGCUCGGAUUGACUGGGCGUAAAGGGCGCGUAGGCGGUUUGUACAGUCAGACGUGAAAUUCCUGGGCUCAACCUGGGGACUGCGUUUGAUACGUGCGGACUUGAGUGCGGAAGAGGGUCGUGGAAUUCCCAGUGUAGAGGUGAAAUUCGUAGAUAUUGGGAAGAACACCGGUGGCGAAGGCGGCGACCUGGUCCGAUACUGACGCUGAGGCGCGAAAGCGUGGGGAGCAAACAGG